CCUACGGGAGGCAGCAGUGGGGAAUAUUGGGCAAUGGAGGCAACUCUGACCCAGCAACGCCGCGUGAAUGAUGAAGGUCUUCGGAUUGUAAAGUUCUUUUCUAAGGGAAGAAGAAAGUGACGGUACCUUAGGAAUAAGCCUCGGCUAACUACGUGCCUGCAGUCGCGGGAAUACGUAGGAGGCAAGCGUUAUCCGGAAUGACUGGGCGUAAAGGGUGCGUAGGUGGUUUGACAAGUUAGUAGCGCAACUCCGGAGCACAACUUCGGAACUACUACUAAAACUGUUGGACUUGAGUGCAGGAGGGGCAAGCGGAAUUCCUGGUGUAGCGGUGGAAUGCGUAGAUAUUAGGAGGAACACCAGUGGCGAAGGCAGAAUGCUAGACUGUAACUGACACUGAGGCACGAAAGCGUGGGGAGCGAACAGGAUUAGAUACCCGAGUAGUC
rnacentral:rRNA from 1 species